UCACCUGUGAAUACGCCACCUAGUGGUCAGUUUUGGAACAUUAACACACUUUAAACACACUUUAGUCACGUGACACACUUUAGUCACGUGACACACUUUAGUUACAUGACAUUUCCUGAUUUUGUUUGAGCACACUUUCCAACUAUUCAAGAUAGAUUUACUUGAAUACACAUAAUACAUGUCAUCAUAGUCAACUAUAACUAAGCUUUGGAGAAAAGCGUCUGCUAAAUGGCAUAUUAUUUAUUUAUUAUCAUAAAAUCCUUCUAAAUCCCUCAAAUAAAAACGUAAUUUAGCAUCAAUUAGCCAGAUAAGCUAAUGUUAGCAAAUUAGCUGAAAGGAAUGAAAAGGACUUUUGCCACAUGGAAAAUUCAGAACUGGAAGAAGUGCAAGAGAAAUGAAGAUGUUUUCUAGUUGAGGAGCACAUGGGCAAUUGAAGAGCAUGUCAAAACGAAGAGCCAGACUUAGUCCUGAGGCUGAGGCUAUUCAUUUUAUUAUUUCUGGAAGUGACAAGCCUUGUAUAAAGUCAAAUGGAUCAAUGACUAUAAAGGACGUGGUGUAUUUGCCUCAGCACCAAUUGAAAAGGGAUACUUUGUCCUCGAGUACCGUGGGGAGUUUAUAUCGCAAUAUGAAUGGGACAAGAGGCAGGGGAAGUAUAGGGAAAAGCAAAAUGCUUUCUUGUUUGAUUUUGAAUGGAACAAUGGCUCAUGGUGCAUAGAUGCAUCCUGCGAAGAUGGUUCACUGGGGAGGCUGGUAAAUGAUGCCCACAGGUCCCCAAAUUGCAAAAUGAAAAAGAUGAUAGUCCAAUGUAAACCUCAUCUUUGCUUGUUUGCUAUUGAAAACAUCCAAGCAGAGAGUGAAAUAACCUAUGAUUAUGGAUAAUCUCAGUGGCCAUGGCGUGCUCUGACACCAAGUGACAAGAUCCCAGCUCAACCUUCAGCAG